AAGGCGGCCUUCUGGGCUGUUCCUGACGCUGAAGGCGAAAGCUAGGGGAGCGAACGGGAUUUAGAUACCCCGGUAGUCCUAGCUGUAAACGAUGGAUGCUGGGUGUGGGGGGUGUAAAUUCCCUCUGUGCCGAAGCAAACGCGUUAAGCAUCCCGCCUGGGGACUACGGCCGCAAGGCUAAAACUCAAACGAAUUGACGGGGGCCCGCACAAGCAGCGGAGCGUGUGGUUUAAUUCGAUGCUACACGAAGAACCUUACCUGGGUUUGACAUGCACGUGGUAGGGAACCGAAAGGGGACCGACCUUCGGGAGCGUGCACAGGUGCUGCAUGGCUGUCGUCAGCUCGUGCCGUGAGGUGUCGGGUUAAGUCCCGUAACGAGCGCAACCCUUGCCCUUAGUUACAAGUGUCUAAGGGGACUGCCCGGGACAACUGGGAGGAAGGUGGGGAUGACGUCAAGUCAGCAUGGCCUUUAUAUCCAGGGCUACACACACGCUACAAUGGCCGGUACAAUAGGUUGCGAAGUCGUGAGGCGGAGCCAAUCCUCAAAGCCGGUCUCAGUUCGAAUUGCAGUCUGCAACUCGACUGCAUGAAGCUGGAGUUGCUAGUAAUCGCAGGUCAGCUAUACUGCGGUGAAUACGUUCCCGGGCCUUG
rnacentral:rRNA from 1 species